rnacentral:rRNA from 1 species
CGAGCGCAACCCUUGUCCUUAGUUACCAGCACGUUAUGGUGGGCACUCUAAGGAGACUGCCGGUGGACAAACCGGAGGAAGGUGAGGAUGACGUCAAGUCAUCAUGGCCCUUACGGCCUGGGCUACACACGUGCUACAAUGGUCGGUACAAAGGGUUGCCAAGCCGCGAGGUGGAGCUAAUACCCAUAAAACCGAUCGUAGUCCGGAUCGCAGUCUGCAACUCGACUGCGUGAAGUCGGAAUCGCUAGUAAUCGUGAAUCAGAAUGUCACGGUGAAUACGUUCCCGGGCCUU